GGUGAGUAACACGUGGGUAACCUGCCCCUUAGACUGGGAUAACAUUCGGAAACGGAUGCUAAUACCGGAUACACAACUUGGUCGCAUGGCCGAGUUGGGAAAGACGGAGCAAUCUGUCACUAAGGGAUGGACCUGCGGCGCAUUAGCUAGUUGGUGAGGUAACGGCUCACCAAGGCGACGAUGCGUAGCCGACCUGAGAGGGUGAUCGGCCACACUGGGACUGAGACACGGCCCAGACUCCUACGGGAGGCAGCAGUAGGGAAUCUUCCGCAAUGGACGAAAGUCUGACGGAGCAACGCCGCGUGAGUGAUGAAGGUUUUCGGAUCGUAAAGCUCUGUUGCCAGGGAAGAAUGCUUGGGAGAGUAACUGCUCUCAAGGUGACGGUACCUGAGAAGAAAGCCCCGGCUAACUACGUGCCAGCAGCCGCGGUAAUACGUAGGGGGGGCAAGCGUUGUCCGGGAAUUAUUGGGCGUAAAGCGCGCGCAGGCGGGCCUUGUAAGUCUGUUGUUUAACUCGGAGCUCAACUCCGAGUCGCAAUGGAAACUGCAAAGCUUGAGUGC
rnacentral:rRNA from 1 species